GAUGAACGCUGGCGGUAUGCUUAACACAUGCAAGUCGAACGGUCACUUCGGUGAUAGUGGCGGACGGGUGAGUAACGCGUGAGAAUCUGUCUUCAGGUCGGGGACAACAGUUAGAAAUGACUGCUAAUACCGGAUGUGCCUUUGGGUGAAAGAUUUAUUGCCUGAAAAAGAGCUCGCGUCAGAUUAGCUAGUAGGUGGUGUAAGAGACUACCUAGGCUCCGAUCUGUAGCUGGUCUGAGAGGACGAUCAGCCACACUGGAACUGAGACACGGUCCAGACUCCUACGGGAGGCAGCAGUGGGGAAUUUUCCGCAAUGGGCGAAAGCCUGACGGAGCAAUACCGCGUGAGGGACGAAGGCUUUUGGGUCGUAAACCUCUUUUCUCAAGGAAGAUGAUAACGGUACUUGAGGAAUAAGCAUCGGCUAACUCUGUG
rnacentral:rRNA from 1 species